rnacentral:rRNA from 1 species
GAUGAACGCUGGCGGCGUGCCUAAUACAUGCAAGUCGAGCGAACAGACGAGGAGCUUGCUCCUCUGACGUUAGCGGCGGACGGGUGAGUAACACGUGGAUAACCUACCUAUAAGACUGGGAUAACUUCGGGAAACCGGAGCUAAUACCGGAUAAUAUAUUGAACCGCAUGGUUCAAUAGUGAAAGACGGUUUUGCUGUCACUUAUAGAUGGCUCCGGGCCGCAUUAGCUAGUUGGUAAGGUAACGGCUUACCAAGGCAACGAUGCGUAGCCGACCUGAGAGGGUGAUCGGCCACACUGGAACUGAGACACGGUCCAGACUCCUACGGGAGGCAGCAGUAGGGAAUCUUCCGCAAUGGGCGAAAGCUUGACGGAGCAACGCCGCGUGAGUGAUGAAGGUCUUCGGAUCGUAAAACUCUGUUAUUAGGGAAGAACAAAUGUGUAAGUAACUAUGCACGUCUUGACGGUACCGAAGCAGAAAGCCACGGCUAACUACGU